rnacentral:rRNA from 1 species
UAAAGGGACGAAGCAGUACCGUAAGGAGCUGUGGACUUUUAAGAAGAGAGAAUGCCGGAAUGAGUAGCGAGAGGAAGGUGGGAAUCCUUCCGGCCGAAUAUCUAAGGUUUCCAGAGUAAAGCUGAUCUGCUCUGGGUAAGUCGGGGCCUAAGGCGAGGUCGAAAGACGUAGUCGAUGGAUAACAGGUUGAAAUUCCUGUACUAUCCUGUAACAGAACUGUGGGGACACAGGCAGAGAGCGUGAGCCGGGAAUGGAAAGACCGGUACAAGCGAGGUAGGAGAAGAGUUGGCAAAUCCGCUCUUUAAUCUGAAGACGUGAUGUGGACUGAAAAUAAGUAGGGAAGCACGUGAGCUGACUGUCAAGAAAAGCCGCUAUUGUUUGCAGGAUACCCGUACCGUAAACCGACACAGGUGGAUGAGGAGAGAAUCCUAAGGCCGACGGGAGAAGCAUUGUUAAGGAACUCGGCAAAAUGACUCCGUAACUUCGGGAGAAGGAGUGCCAGUAAGAUGGCCGCAGAGAAUUGGCCCAAGCAACUGUUUAGCAAAAACACAGGUCUAUGCAAAACCGAAAGGUGAGGUAUAUGGGCUGACGCCUGCCCGGUGCUGGAAGGUUAAGGGGAGAGGUUAGCGCAAGCGAAGCUUUGAACUUAAGCCCCAGUAAACGGCGGCCGUAACUAUAACGGUCCUAAGGUAGCGAAAUUCCUUGUCGGGUAAGUUCCGACCCGCACGAAAGGCGUAAUGAUUUGGGCACUGUCUCAACAAUGCACCCGGUGAAAUUGAAAUACCAGUGAAGAUGCUGGUUACCUGCGCCAGGACGGAAAGACCCCAUGGAGCUUUACUCCAGCUUGAUACUGGGAUUCGGUAUUGCAUGUACAGGAUAGGUGGGAGGCUAGGAAAUGGUAACGCCAGUUGCCAUGGAGCCACUGUUGGGAUACCACCCUUGCAGUACUGGGUUUCUAACCAGCAGCCGUGAUCCGGCUGGGGGACAAUGUCAGGUGGGGAGUUUGACUGGGGCGGUCGCCUCCGAAAGGGUAUCGGAGGCGCUCAAAGGUUCCCUCAGAAUGGUUGGAAACCAUUCGAAGAGUGCAAAGGCAGAAGGGAGCUUGACUGCGACACCGACGGGUGGAGCAGGUACGAAAGUAGGACUUAGUGAUCCGGUGGUAUAAAGUGGGAUUGCCAUCGCUCAACGGAUAAAAGCUACCCUGGGGAUAACAGGCUUAUCACUCCCAAGAGUUCACAUCGACGGAGUGGUUUGGCACCUCGAUGUCGGCUCAUCGCAUCCUGGGGCUGAAGUAGGUCCCAAGGGUUGGGCUGUUCGCCCAUUAAAGCGGUACGCGAGCUGGGUUCAGAACGUCGUGAGACAGUUCGGUCCCUAUCUGUCGUGGGCGCAGGAUAUUUGAUGGGAGCUGUCCCUAGUACGAGAGGACCGGGACGGACGUACCUCUGGCGCACCAGUUGUUCCGCCAGGAGCAUAGCUGGGCAACUACGUACGGAUCGGAUAAACGCUGAAAGCAUCUAAGCGUGAAGCCGACCCAAAGAUAAGAUAUCCCAUUGUUUUAAACAAGUAAGACCCCUUGAAGACUACAAGGUUGAUAGGCACGAUGUGUAAGUGGAGCGAUCCAUUCAGCAAGCGUGUACUAAUAGGUCGAGGGCUUGACCAC